rnacentral:rRNA from 1 species
GACGAACGCUGGCGGCGUGCCUAAUACAUGCAAGUAGGACGCAGUUGCGAACGGGUGAGUAACGCGUAGGUAACUGCCUCUUAGAGGGGGAUAACUAUUGGAAACGAUAGCUAAUACCGCAUACUAGUAGAUGGACCUGCGUUGUAUUAGCUAGUAGGUAGGGUAAUGGCCUACCCAGGAAACGAUACAUAGCCGACGCGGGAAGGGGUAUGGGCACAAUGGGACUGAGGCACGGCCCAGACCCCUACGGGCAGCAGCCGUAGGGAAUCUUCGGCAAUGGGGGGAACCCUUAACGAGCAAAGCCGGGGGAGUGAAGAAGGUUUUCAGAUCGUAAAGCUCUGUUGUUAAGGAAGCGGUACUUAACCAGAAAGGGACGGCUAACUACGUGCCAGCAGCCGCGGUAAUUC